rnacentral:piRNA from 1 species
UAGUGAGUAGAUGGACCUGCUUUGAUGUUU